rnacentral:lncRNA from 1 species
CUCCAUGUGACCAUUAAUAAGUAGUUGUAUAAAACUUGCUUUGACGUUGAAUAAUACGAUUGAUGUCGAUUAUUUUUUGUUUUCUCUACUGUAUUGUAUGAUUUUUUUUUUGCCUUUGCUAUUGUGUGUCUUGUUUUUCUCCAUGUUACCAUUAAUAAAUAAGUAUAUACUUUGACGUUGAAUGAUAUGAUCGUGUUUGACGUUUUUUUUUUUUUUUCUCUAAUGCUUGUAUGACAUCUUUUAACAUUAUUGAACGUUUGGCUAAUCUAUCUUAGAUGGGAGAUACACAUGAUGAUAUAACCAUCCUUCACAAGCUUCUUAUGUUUUGGCCCGAAUUGGCCAGAUAUCUUUGGAAAUGUUUUUUAUUUUAUUUUAAAUGUCUAGCAAAUCCCUCAUCAAAACCUUAAA